AUGCUAUUUGCAACUUUAGAACAUAUACUAACUCAUAUCUCUUUCUCAAUGAUUUCAAUUGUGAUUACGAUUCAUUUUAUAACCUUAUUAGUUCAUGAAUUUGGAGGAUUACGUGAUUCGUCAGAAAAAGGAAUGAUAGUUACCUUUUUCUCUAUAACAGGAUUCUUAGUUUCUCGUUGGGCUUCCUCGGGACAUUUUCCAUUAAGUAAUUUAUAUGAGCCAUCGAUCUUCCUUUUCAUGGGCCUUGUAUAUUCUUCAUACCAUUCCUAA
rnacentral:rRNA from 1 species